AUUGAACGCUGGCGGCAUGCCUUACACAUGCAAGUCGAACGGUAACGCGGGGCAACCUGGCGACGAGUGGCGAACGGGUGAGUAAUGUAUCGGAACGUGCCCAGUUGUGGGGGAUAACUGCUCGAAAGAGCAGCUAAUACCGCAUACGACCUGAGGGUGAAAGCGGGGGAUCGCAAGACCUCGCGCAAUUGGAGCGGCCGAUAUCAGAUUAGGUAGUUGGUGGGGUCAAGGCUCACCAAGCCAACGAUCUGUAGCUGGUCUGAGAGGACGACCAGCCAGACUGGGACUGAGACACGGCCCAGACUCCGACGGGAGGCAGCAGUGGGGAAUUUUGGAAAAUGGACGCAAGUCUGAUCCAGCCAUGCCGCGUGCGGGAAGAAGGCCUUCGGGUUGUAAACCGCUUUUGUCAGGGAAGAAACGCUCUGGGUUAAUACCUCGGGGUAAUGACGGUACCUGAAGAAUAAGCACCGGCUAACUACGUGCCAGCAGCCGCCGUAACAC
rnacentral:rRNA from 1 species